AACACAUUAAAUGUCAUCAGUGCAUGUACAGUUGUGCUCAUAAGUUUACAUACUCUUGCAGAAUGUGUGAUUCUUUGUCCAUUUAUCAGAAAAUAUGAAUAAUAAUACAAAAGCUUUUAUUUCACUCGUGGCUAGUGGUUGGGUGAAGCCAUUUAUCA